UACAGAGGGUGCAAGCGUUGUUCGGAAUUAUUGGGCGUAAAGGGCGCGUAGGCGGUGCGGUAAGUCUGUAGUGAAAUCUCUGGGCUCAACUCAGAGUCUGCUAUAGAAACUGCCGUGCUUGAGUGUGGGAGAGGUGAGUGGAAUUCCCGGUGUAGCGGUGAAAUGCGUAGAUAUCGGGGAGGAACACCUGUGGCGAAAAGCGGCUCACUGGACCACAACUGACGCUGAGGCGCGAAAGCUAGGGGGAGCAAACAGG
rnacentral:rRNA from 1 species